rnacentral:rRNA from 1 species
GACGGGGCCGCACAAGCGGCGGAGCAUGCGAUUAAUCGAUGCAACGCGAAGAACCUUACCAAGGCUUGACAUACACCGGUAACGCCCAGAGAUGGGUGCCCCUUUGUGGUCGGUGGACAGGUGGUGCAUGGUUGUCGUCAGCUCGUGUCGUGAGAUGUUGGGUUAAGUCCCGCAACGAGCGCAACCCUCGUCCUAUGUUGCCAGCGGGUCAUGCCGGGGACUCAUGGGAGACUGCCGGGGUCAACUCGGAGGAAGGUGGGGAUGACGUCAAAUCAUCAUGCCCCUUAUGUCUUGGGCUUCACGCAUGCUACAAUGGCCGGUACAAAGGGCUGCGAUACCGCGAGGUGGAGCGAAUCCCAGAAAGCCGGUCUCAGUUCGGAUUGGGGUCUGCAACUCGACCCCAUGAAGUCGGAGUCGCUAGUAAUCGCAGAUCAGCAACGCUGCGGUGAAUACGUUCCCGGGCCUU